ACUAAGCGUACACGGUGGAUGCCCUGGCAGUCAGAGGCGAUGAAGGACGUGCUAAUCUGCGAUAAGCGUCGGUGAGGUGAUAUGAACCGUUAUAACCGGCGAUUUCCGAAUGGGGAAACCCAGUGUGUUUCGACACACUAUCAUUAACUGAAUCCAUAGGUUAAUGAGGCGAACCGGGGGAACUGAAACAUCUAAGUACCCCGAGGAAAAGAAAUCAACCGAGAUUCCCCCAGUAGCGGCGAGCGAACGGGGAGGAGCCCAGAGCCUGAAUCAGUGUGUGUGUUAGUGGAAGCGUCUGGAAAGGCGCGCGAUACAGGGUGACAGCCCCGUACACAAAAAUGCACAUAUUGUGAGCUCGAUGAGUAGGGCGGGACACGUGGUAUCCUGUCUGAAUAUGGGGGGACCAUCCUCCAAGGCUAAAUACUCCUGACUGACCGAUAGUGAACCAGUACCGUGAGGGAAAGGCGAAAAGAACCCCGGCGAGGGGAGUGAAAAAGAACCUGAAACCGUGUACGUACAAGCAGUGGGAGCCUCUUAAUGGGGUGACUGCGUACCUUUUGUAUAAUGGGUCAGCGACUUAUAUUCUGUAGCAAGGUUAACCGAAUAGGGGAGCCGAAGGGAAACCGAGUCUUAACUGGGCGUUAAGUUGCAGGGUAUAGACCCGAAACCCGGUGAUCUAGCCAUGGGCAGGUUGAAGGUUGGGUAACACUAACUGGAGGACCGAACCGACUAAUGUUGAAAAAUUAGCGGAUGACUUGUGGCUGGGGGUGAAAGGCCAAUCAAACCGGGAGAUAGCUGGUUCUCCCCGAAAGCUAUUUAGGUAGCGCCUCGUGAAUUCAUCUCCGGGGGUAGAGCACUGUUUCGGCAAGGGGGUCAUCCCGACUUACCAACCCGAUGCAAACUGCGAAUACCGGAGAAUGUUAUCACGGGAGACACACGGCGGGUGCUAACGUCCGUCGUGAAGAGGGAAACAACCCAGACCGCCAGCUAAGGUCCCAAAGUCAUGGUUAAGUGGGAAACGAUGUGGGAAGGCCCAGACAGCCAGGAUGUUGGCUUAGAAGCAGCCAUCAUUUAAAGAAAGCGUAAUAGCUCACUGGUCGAGUCGGCCUGCGCGGAAGAUGUAACGGGGCUAAACCAUGCACCGAAGCUGCGGCAGCGACACUAUGUGUUGUUGGGUAGGGGAGCGUUCUGUAAGCCUGUGAAGGUGUACUGUGAGGUAUGCUGGAGGUAUCAGAAGUGCGAAUGCUGACAUAAGUAACGAUAAAGCGGGUGAAAAGCCCGCUCGCCGGAAGACCAAGGGUUCCUGUCCAACGUUAAUCGGGGCAGGGUGAGUCGACCCCUAAGGCGAGGCCGAAAGGCGUAGUCGAUGGGAAACAGGUUAAUAUUCCUGUACUUGGUGUUACUGCGAAGGGGGGACGGAGAAGGCUAUGUUGGCCGGGCGACGGUUGUCCCGGUUUAAGCGUGUAGGCUGGUUUUCCAGGCAAAUCCGGAAAAUCAAGGCUGAGGCGUGAUGACGAGGCACUACGGUGCUGAAGCGACAAAUGCCCUGCUUCCAGGAAAAGCCUCUAAGCAUCAGGUAACAUCAAAUCGUACCCCAAACCGACACAGGUGGUCAGGUAGAGAAUACCAAGGCGCUUGAGAGAACUCGGGUGAAGGAACUAGGCAAAAUGGUGCCGUAACUUCGGGAGAAGGCACGCUGAUAUGUAGGUGAAGCGACUUGCUCGUGGAGCUGAAAUCAGUCGAAGAUACCAGCUGGCUGCAACUGUUUAUUAAAAACACAGCACUGUGCAAACACGAAAGUGGACGUAUACGGUGUGACGCCUGCCCGGUGCCGGAAGGUUAAUUGAUGGGGUUAGCGGUAACGCGAAGCUCUUGAUCGAAGCCCCGGUAAACGGCGGCCGUAACUAUAACGGUCCUAAGGUAGCGAAAUUCCUUGUCGGGUAAGUUCCGACCUGCACGAAUGGCGUAAUGAUGGCCAGGCUGUCUCCACCCGAGACUCAGUGAAAUUGAACUCGCUGUGAAGAUGCAGUGUACCCGCGGCAAGACGGAAAGACCCCGUGAACCUUUACUAUAGCUUGACACUGAACAUUGAGCCUUGAUGUGUAGGAUAGGUGGGAGGCUUUGAAGUGUGGACGCCAGUCUGCAUGGAGCCGACCUUGAAAUACCACCCUUUAAUGUUUGAUGUUCUAACGUGGGCCCCUUACCGGGGUUGCGGACAGUGUCUGGUGGGUAGUUUGACUGGGGCGGUCUCCUCCUAAAGAGUAACGGAGGAGCACGAAGGUUGGCUAAUCCUGGUCGGACAUCAGGAGGUUAGUGCAAUGGCAUAAGCCAGCUUGACUGCGAGCGUGACGGCGCGAGCAGGUGCGAAAGCAGGUCAUAGUGAUCCGGUGGUUCUGAAUGGAAGGGCCAUCGCUCAACGGAUAAAAGGUACUCCGGGGAUAACAGGCUGAUACCGCCCAAGAGUUCAUAUCGACGGCGGUGUUUGGCACCUCGAUGUCGGCUCAUCACAUCCUGGGGCUGAAGUAGGUCCCAAGGGUAUGGCUGUUCGCCAUUUAAAGUGGUACGCGAGCUGGGUUUAGAACGUCGUGAGACAGUUCGGUCCCUAUCUGCCGUGGGCGCUGGAGAACUGAGGGGGGCUGCUCCUAGUACGAGAGGACCGGAGUGGACGCAUCACUGGUGUUCGGGUUGUCAUGCCAAUGGCACUGCCCGGUAGCUAAAUGCGGAAGAGAUAAGUGCUGAAAGCAUCUAAGCACGAAACUUGCCCCGAGAUGAGUUCUCCCUGACUCCUUGAGAGUCCUGAAGGAACGUUGAAGACGACGACGUUGAUAGGCCGGGUGUGUAAGCGCAGCGAUGCGUUGAGCUAACCGGUACUAAUGAACCGUGAGGCUUAACC
rnacentral:rRNA from 1 species